rfam:Clostridiales bacterium S5-A14a contig17, whole genome shotgun sequence.
GGUUAAGCAACAAAGAGCAUAAGGUGAAUGCCUUGGCACUGGAAGCCGAAGAAGGACGUGACAAGCUGCGAUAAGCUGCGGUGAGGAGCAAAUAUCCCUUGACCCGCAGAUGUCCGAAUGAGGGAACUCACCUGUUUUAAUAGGCAGGUAUCCUAUGAUGAAUAUAUAGUCAUAGAGAAGGAAACCCGGAGAACUGAAACAUCUAAGUACCCGGAGGAAAAGAAAGAAACAUCGAUUUUCCAAGUAGCGGCGAGCGAACGGGAAAGAGGCCAAACCAUCUAUUUAUAGAUGGGGUUGUGGAUCACAAUAAGAGACGCUUAAAUAUAGUCGAAGACAGCUGGAAAGCUGUAGCAAAGAGGGUAAAACUCCCGUAGACGAAAUAUGAGAGCGCUUUAGUGACACCAGAGUAGUGCCGGACACGUGGAAUCCGGCAUGAAGCCGGGGGGCCCACCCCCCAAGCCUAAAUACUAACCAGUGACCGAUAGCGAAGUAGUACCGUGAGGGAAAGGUGAAAAGAACCCCGGGAGGGGAGUGAAAUAGAACCUGAAACCUUAUGCUUACAAUCGGAGGGAGCGCAAGUGACCUCAUACUUUUUGUAGAACGGGCCAACGAGUUAUGGUAUGUAGCAAGGUUAAGGUGCUGGAGCACCGAAGCCGCAGGGAAACCGAGUCUUAAUAGGGCGAGAAGUUGCAUGCUGUAGACCCGAAACCGGGUGACCUAUCCAUGUGCAGGUUGAAGUAACUGUAAAAGGUUAUGGAGGACCGAACUCAUGUCUGUUAAAAAAGGCUGGGAUGACGUGUGGAUAGCGGUGAAAUUCCAAUCGAACUCGGAGAUAGCUGGUUCUCCUCGAAAUAGCUUUAGGGCUAGCCUCAAGGAAAGAUACGCGGGGGUAAAGCACUGAAUGUUCAAGGGGCCUUCACCGGUUACCAAAAACUAUCAAACUCAGAAUACCGCAGUAUUAUACUUGGGAGUCAGGCUAUGUGAGAUAAGUUUCAUAGUCGAGAGGGAAACAACCCAGACCAACAGCUAAGGUCCCAAAAUGUAAGUUAAGUGGAAAAGGAUGUGGAGUUGCAUAAACAGCUAGGAUGUUGGCUUAGAAGCAGCCAUACAUUUAAAGAGUGCGUAAUAGCUCACUAGUCGAGUGACCCUGCGCCGAAGAUAAACGGGGCUAAAACUUACUACCGAAGCUUUGGAACAGAAAUGUUGGUAGAGGAGCAUUGUAUACAGGCAGAAGGUAAAUUGUGAAGUUUGCUGGACAGUAUACAAGAGAGAAUGUUGGCAUGAGUAGCGAGAGGCAGGUGAGAAUCCUGCCCGCCGAAAAUCUAAGGUUUCCUGAGGAAGGUUCGUCCACUCAGGGUUAGUCGGGGCCUAAGCCCAGAGCGAGAGCUGUAGGCGAUGGACAACAGGUAGAAAUUCCUGUACCACCGAGGAUUGAUUGAGUGAAGUGGGGACACAGAAGGAUAGGUUGAGCACGCCGUUGGUAGAGCGUGUCCAAGCGUCGAGGGAGUAUAAGUAGGCAAAUCCGCAUAUACAAUUCUGAGGCGUUACGGGGUGGCGAAAGAGCCUGAAGCGACCGAUUUCAUGCUGUCAAGAAAAUCCGCUAGCGAGAUCCAAGGUGCCCGUACCGCAGACCGACACAGGUAGAUGAGGAGAGAAUCCUAAGGCGAGCGAGAGAACUAUUGUUAAGGAACUCGGCAAAAUUACCCCGUAACUUCGGGAGAAGGGGUGCCACAGAAAUGUGGCCGCAGUGAAUAGGCCCAGGCAACUGUUUACCAAAAACACAGGUCUCUGCAAAAGCGAAAGCUGAAGUAUAGGGGCUGACGCCUGCCCGGUGCUGGAAGGUUAAGGGGAAGUGUUAGGGCAACCGAAGCACAGAACUUAAGCCCCAGUAAACGGCGGCCGUAACUAUAACGGUCCUAAGGUAGCGAAAUUCCUUGUCGGGUAAGUUCCGACCCGCACGAAAGGCGUAAUGAUCUGGGCACUGUCUCAACAAUAGACUCGGUGAAAUUGUAGUACCGGUAAAGAUGCCGGUUACCCGCAGCAGGACGGAAAGACCCCGUGGAGCUUUACUGUAGCUUGAUAUUGAAUUUCGAUGUUGCAUGUACAGGAUAGGUGGGAGACUAUGAGUACAGUACGCCAGUAUUGUAGGAGUCAUCGUUGGGAUACCACCCUUGUAAUAUUGAAGUUCUAACCAUGUAGCGUGAACCGGUACUGGGACAUUGUCAGGUGGGCAGUUUGACUGGGGCGGUCGCCUCCUAAAGAGUAACGGAGGCGCCCAAAGGUUCCCUCAGCGCGGACGGAAAUCGCGCGAAGAGUGCAAAGGCAGAAGGGAGCUUGACUGCGAGACAAACAGGUCGAGCAGGUACGAAAGUAGGGCUUAGUGAUCCGGUGGUUCCGAGUGGAAGGGCCAUCGCUCAACGGAUAAAAGCUACCCCGGGGAUAACAGGCUGAUACCCCCCAAGAGUUCACAUCGACGGGGGUGUUUGGCACCUCGAUGUCGGCUCGUCUCAUCCUGGGGCUGAAGUAGGUCCCAAGGGUUGGGCUGUUCGCCCAUUAAAGAGGUACGCGAGCUGGGUUCAGAACGUCGUGAGACAGUUCGGUCCCUAUCCGCUGUGGGCGUUGGAAAUUUGAGUGGAGCUGUCCUUAGUACGAGAGGACCGGGAUGGACAUACCUCUGGUGCACCAGUUGUUCUGCCAAGGGCAUAGCUGGGUAGCUAAGUAUGGACGGGAUAAGCGCUGAAAGCAUAUAAGUGCGAAGCCCCCCACAAGACAAGAUUUCCUUAUGAGACCCGUGGGAGACUACCACGUUGAUAGGUCGGAGGUGGAAGUGUAGCAAUACAUGUAGCUGACCGAUACUAAUAGGUCCAACGCUUAACCAA